GGCCAUUUAUGGGGCUUACACAAUCCCAAAAGAUGAAAAUACUUACUGCCUCAUUCCUGAACCUUUGAACUCUCUGUAGGCAUUAUUUUCACGAAAAAUCGUCAACCUGCCUGACUGGCCAUGGAAUAGAGCUGUGGGUGACACAUAGUGAAAGAUUUAACCCAGAACGAAGGCCGAGUUUUCUAGGCAGAAAUGGGCAGAAUUCUGGCAGUGGGAAGUGGGACCAGAAUCAUCCUUCAGACUGUGGCAAGAAGGACAGAGUAGAAGAGCAGUCACAGUAAAUAACUCGUGGACUUAAUCAUGGGAACUAAAACUGUGAUAUUCCCAUUAACCUCUUCUCUUCAGCAAGGCAUCGGUAAUGAUGAAUCCAGCCUCUAUCUUAUAACCUGUCUCCAGUUACAAGACAGGAAGAAAAUCUAAGGUUGUAUUCAAGUCAUGGACAUGAUGUACAGCAAAACCUAACAGAUGGAUGCUAGGCAUAGGCAAAGGAAGAACACAACAGGACUGCAUUGACCAUUAUCCAUCAGAAAGUUGUCUGGC
rnacentral:lncRNA from 1 species